rnacentral:rRNA from 1 species
AUUGAACGCUGGCGGCAGGCCUAACACAUGCAAGUCGAACGGUAACAGGAAACAGCUUGCUGUUUCUCUGACGAGUGGCGGACGGGUGAGUAAUGUCUGGGAAACUGCCUGCUGGAGGGUGAUAACUACUGGAAACGGUAGCUAAUACCGCAUAACGUCGCAAGACCAAAGAGGGGGACCCUCGGGCCUCUUGCCAUCGUAUGUGCCCAGAUGGGAUUAGCUUGUUGGUGGGGUAACGGCUCACCAAGGCGACGAUCCGUAGCUGGUCUGAGAGGAUGACCAGCCACACUGGAACUGAGACACGGUCCAGACUCCUACGGGAGGCAGCAGUGGGGAAUAUUGCACAAUGGGCGCAAGCCUGAUGCAGCCAUGCCGCGUGUAUGAAGAAGGCGUUCGGGUUGUAAAGUACUUUCAGCGGGGAGGAAGGGAGUAAAGUUAAUACCUUGGCUCAGUGACGGUACCCGCAGAAGAAGCACCGGCUAACUCCGUG